rnacentral:rRNA from 1 species
UACGAAGGGGGCGAGCGUUGUUCGGAUUUACUGGGCGUAAAGGGCGCGCAGGCGGCUAUCCAAGUCAGGCGUGAAAGCCCCGGGCUUAACCUGGGAGGUGCGUCUGGGACUGGGUGGCUAGAGUUCGGGAGAGGAGAGUGGAAUUCCCAGUGUAGAGGUGAAAUUCGUAGAUAUUGGGAAGAACACCGGUGGCGAAGGCGGCUCUCUGGACCGAGACUGACGCUGAGGCGCGAAAAGCGUGGGGGAGCAAACAGG